CAUCUACUCCCUUCGUUCCGAAUUACUUGGCGCAGGUAUGGAUGUAUCUAGAUGUAUUUUAGUUCUAGAUACAUUCAUUUCUGCGACGAGUAAUUUGGAACGGAGGAAGUAUCAG
rfam:Triticum urartu cultivar G1812 contig274489, whole genome shotgun sequence.